AUUGAACGCUGGCGGAAUGCUUUACACAUGCAAGUCGAACGGCAGCACGGACUUCGGUCUGGUGGCGAGUGGCGAACGGGUGAGUAAUGUAUCGGAACGUGCCCAGUCGUGGGGGAUAACGUAGUGAAAAUUACGCUAAUACCGCAUACGAUCUAUGGAUGAAAGCGGGGGAUCGCAAGACCCCGCGCGAUUGGAGCGGCCGACAACGGGUUAGGUAGUUGGUGGGGUAAAGGCCCACCAAGCCAACGAUCUGUAGCUGGUAUGAGAGGACGACCAGCAACGCUGGAACUGAGACACGGUCCAGACUCCUACGGGAGGCAGCAGUGGGGAAUUUUGGACAAUGGGCGAAAGCCUGUUCCAGCCAUUCCGCGUGCAGGAUGAAGGCCCUCGGGUUGUAAACUGCUUUUGUACAGAACGAAAAGGUUUCUACUAAUACUAGGAGCUCAUGACGGUACUGUAAGAAUAAGCACCGGCUAACUACGUGCCAGCCGCCGCAGUAA
rnacentral:rRNA from 1 species